rnacentral:tRNA from 1 species
UUUUAAUUAGUGUAAAUAGCAUACUUAGUUUCCAACUAAGAGGUUUAUUAAAUU